rnacentral:lncRNA from 1 species
UGCCCACUUGAGUUUCAGCAGGGAAACCUGUCAUUGUUAAGUAACAUUAAUCCAUGUAAUAGUUAAGUGAAAAGCAGUUUUCAACUAUUCCUAUGUAGAUAAAGGUUCUACAAUGAGAAGUACAUCUACAAUGUCAGACAUAAAUGUCAAUUAAAAGUUAUACAAAAUCCUGAACAGAAAGGUGUGUGGGGGUGGCCACGCUUGGCACAGUGGAGUGUGUGUGACUAGGCCCUGGGCAAGCAGAGCAGGAUGGGGGGCUGUCAGUUCUCAUAGCACACAAUCUAAGAGGUCUGAUCUGAAUGAGGAAUACCAGGAAAUUGGAACUGAAGCCGAGUGGUAAUGUAGACAAGCGUAAUGUGCUCAGCUGGUAGUGGGCAUUAGUUCCCAGUGACAUGACACCAUUUGAAAUGGUGGAGAAAAUAGGAAGAGAAAUGAUUCAAACAAAGAUGUAUGAUGUCUAGGGGUUACUGAAAAGUGCUUCUACAUUCAAGAAGCUUAUAUCCAGAAUACUAAAAUAUAAAAUAAAAAUGCCCUACCAAAACUCAAUAAUAAGAAAGCAACUCAAUUAACUAAUGAAUUUUUGACUGCCAGGCACUGUGAAAGUGCUUUGCAUAUAUUAAAUAACUGAUCUUCAGAGUAAUAGGGCA